CCUGGGGGGUGGUGGCCGGGGGGGCCUCGUCCCGGGGGACUGAAGGACCGCGGGCCUUACACUGGGCUUCCUCUGCCGGCCCUGCCAGGUGAUGGUUAGGUGAGAAAUGACGCCCAAGGCUUUCGUGAGAUAAAACAACCAACUGCAGCUACGCCUGUGGCCUUGGCCGGGCGGGGGACCUCGCCAGCCUCCCCCUGGCCCUGGCUGUCGUCGGGCCUGGCCGUUCCGCCGUGAAGGGUCCACAGACCCUCUUCCUCCGUCCCCUCCACGAGCGCCCUGCCCUGCCCCUGCCAGCCCUCCUCCCCUCUCACAGGACCACCCUGGCUCCCGAAAGUCCCCCUGUCCCUCGCGGUCACCCCUCCCCAGUGUCUGUUUUCAGCCGUAUUCCUGCCUCUCCUUCCAGCCCCACAGUCCUGGGCUGCCGGCCAAGUAGGACUGCUGGCCAGCCCCCAAAUGCUUCCCAUGUUUGACUCGCCCCACGGGUGCCAUUCCCUCUGCCUGACUGCCCUUUCAUCCCCUUCCCACCUGCUGAAAUUCUAGCCACCUGUUGAGACAGCUGGGGUGUUAGUUCCUUGGGGAAAACCCCAAGACCUGCCCUCCUGUCCCCUCUCCCUACUCGGAGCUCCCUCGCACUUGAUUCCUACCUCCCCUGGGGAACCUUACCGCAUUCUUUCCUGCUAUGUAUCUUUGAGAAGAUCUUCCUCCAGCUGUCUUUGCUUCUGGAACAGAAACCUGUUUUCCCCCAGUGACUAUAAAACAAAGACUAAAUGACCUUCUCCAAUCUCUGUUGAAUCUCUGCAACAAUCCCAUGAGGAAACUGAGGUACAGUGGAAUUACUGAGGGGUCAUCUGUUCAACAAGGCUUCCCAAGAGGAGUCCUAUCCGGUGCACUGUGAGGACAAGAAAUGAGUAAGCGCCAGCCCUACCCUCCAAGUCUAGAGGCGGAGAAACCCAGACACUGAGACAGUGACAGACUAGCAGGGAACCUGCCUCCUGACUCAGUCUCCCCGCUUGGUGAAAUCCACCUGCAGUCUCCCUGUUGCUCAGCCUCUCUUCCUUCUCCAGAGGAUGCGGAGGGGGGCUGAAAAUUCCAGACUUCUGAUCGUGGCUGCUGGGUCUUUCUCAUGACCAGACCCCCUGGAGGUCACCUCAUGACCGGAGCCCACCUGGGGUCACCUCAUUAGAACGAAGGACACUCCCGUCACCCAGGAAAUUACAAAGGUUUCAGGGGCCCCAUGCUGGGAACCAGGGGCAAAGCUGUUAUAGUGUCUUUAAACAUUUCAGUUUAAAUAAUGUAAUGUAUAUGUGUGGUAUGGGUUUGAACCUGUCACUACAGAAACUACAGAAACCCAUAACUACAGAAAACUACAGCCCAUGGACAAGCUUUGGCCCAGUGCCUCCUUUUGGACAGCUAAGAAUUAUUUUUACACUUACACUUUUAAAUGGGUCAUAGAAAUCAAAAGAUAAUGCUUUGAGGGACUUCAAUUAUAUAAAAUUCAGAUUGCAGUGCUGGUAGGUAACGUCUAGCUGGAACACAGCCAGGCCCAUGUGCCUGGUAUGACAGCAUUCAGAGCAGAGGCGAGAAGAUGGAGCACAGACUGUGUGGCUGGGGGUCCUGCAGAGCCCAAGCUCUCCCAUGUGGCCCUAACAGAGAAAGCUUGCUGAACCAUAGAGCGAUGGUGUUCAGACGUUUUGGUCUCAAGACUAUUUCUCACUCUUAAAAUUUGAGGCCCCAAACUUUGUUUAUAUACAGAUUAAUAUUUAUCAUAAGUUAAAAUUGCAAAUGACCCCUACCGCUGUAUUAAAAUGUGUUUUAAAUAAUUAAACAGUAACCCAGUAUAUGUUAGCUUAGUUCAGGUAUUUUUUUGAAAAAGAAUAUUUUCAAAGACAAUAAACAUUUAAUGAGAAGAGUGG